CCCUUAGAUGUUCUGGGCCGCACGCGCGCUACACUGACGAAUGCAACGAGCUUAUAACCUUGGCCGAAAGGUCUGGGUAAUCUCCAAAUUUCGUCGUGAUGGGGAUAGAUUAUUGCAAUUAUUAAUCUUCAACGAGGAUGCCUAGUAAGCGCAAGUCAUCAGCUUGCGUUGAUUACGUCCCUGCCCUUUGUACACACCGCCCGUCGCUCCUACCGAUUGAAUGGUCCGGUGAAGCGUUCGGACCGUGGCCUUUGGACGGUUCGCCGUCUGUUGGCUGCGGGAAGUUCGUUAAACCUUAUCAUUUAGAGGAAGGAGAAGUCGUAACA
rnacentral:rRNA from 1 species